AGUGUAUGUGGUGGAUGCCUUGGCGAUUACAGGCGAAGAAGGACGUCGCAGCCUGCGAAAAGCCGUGGGGAGCUGGCAAGCGAGCACUGAUCCACGGAUGUCCGAAUGAGGGAACUCACCCGCAAGGGUAUCUUGAAGUGAAUACAUAGCUUCAAGAGGCGAACGCAGCGAACUGAAACAUCUAAGUAGCUGCAGGAAAAGAAAUCAACCGAGAUUCUGAAAGUAGCGGCGAGCGAAAUUGGAAGAGCCUGCAAGUGAUAUUGAAUUCGAUACUGGAACGGUCUGGAAAGUCCGGCUACAGAGGGUGACAGCCCCGUACGGGAAAUUGGGUUCAAGGUACUGAGCUUGCGAAAAGUAGAGCGGGACACGUGAAAUCCUGCUCGAAGAUGGGGGGACCAUCCUCCAAGGCUAAAUACUCGUAAUCGACCGAUAGCGAACCAGUACUGUGAAGGAAAGGCGAAAAGAACCCCGGGAGGGGAGUGAAAUAGAUCCUGAAACCGCAUACAUACAAACAGUAGGAGCCCGCAAGGGUGACUGCGUACCUUUUGCAUAAUGGGUCAGCGACUUACGUUCAAUGGCAAGCUUAACCGAGUAGGGGAGGCGCAGCGAAAGCGAGUCCGAACAGGGCGAUAUGAGUCGUUGGGCGUAGACCCGAAACCAGAUGAUCUAUCCAUGGCCAGGCUGAAGGUGUGGUAACACACACUGGAGGGCCGAACCGACUAGUGUUGCAAAAUUAGCGGAUGAGCUGUGGAUAGGGGUGAAAGGCUAAACAAAUCUGGAGAUAGCUGGUUCUCCCCGAAAACUAUUGAGGUAGUGCCUCGUGUAUGGCUCCAGGGGGUAGAGCACUGUUAUGGCUAGGGGGACAUGGCGUCUUACCAAACCAUGGCAAACUCCGAAUACUUGGAAGUCUGAGCACGGGAGACAGAGCACCGGGUGCUAACGUCCGGACUCAAAAGGGAAACAACCCAGACCGCCGGCUAAGGUCCCUAAUAUUGACUAAGUGGAAAACGAAGUGGGAAGGCUAAGACAGUCAGGAAGUUGGCUUAGAAGCAGCCAUCCUUCAAAGAAAGCGUAAUAGCUCACUGAUCGAGUCUUCCUGCGCGGAAGAUGUAACGGGGCUAAGUCAAUAACCGAAGCCGCGGAUUCGCAGCAAUGCGAGUGGUAGGGGAGCGUUCUGUAAGCCUGCGAAGGCGGAUCUGCGAGGACCGCUGGAGGUAUCAGAAGUGCGAAUGCUGACAUGAGUAACGUUAAAGCGGGUGAAAAGCCCGCUCGCCGCAAGCCCAAGGUUUCCUGCUCUACGUUCAUCGGAGCAGGGUGAGUCGGCCCCUAAGGUCAGGCUGAGAAGCGUAGCUGAUGGGAAGCUGGUUAAUAUUCCAGCACCGAUUUCAAGUGCGAAGGGGGGACGGAGUCCUGAAGGUCAUCCGGGUGUUGGACAUCCCGGUUUACGAGCGUAGGAGGUUGACAGGCAAAUCCGUCAACGAAUCUCCAAGGCGAAGGAUCGAGGUUGAGAGAUCAACUGAAGUGACUGAAUGGGCUUCCAGGAAAAGCCUCUAAGCAUCAGCUUGGAAUUGACCGUACCGCAAACCGACACUGGUGGGCGAGCUGAAUAUGCUCAGGCGCUUGAGAGAACUCAGGAGAAGGAACUCGGCAAAUUGACACCGUAACUUCGGGAUAAGGUGUGCCUUUGUAGUGUGAAGAGAGAAACACUCCGAGCAUGAAGAGGCCUCAGAGAAUCGGUGGCUGCAACUGUUUACUAAAAACACAGCACUCUGCAAAGAUGAAAGUCGACGUAUAGGGUGUGAUGCCUGCCCGGUGCUGGAAGAUUAAUUGAUGGGGUGCAAGCUCCUGAUCGAAGUCCCAGUAAACGGCGGCCGUAACUAUAACGGUCCUAAGGUAGCGAAAUUCCUUGUCGGGCAAGUUCCGACCUGCACGAAUGGCAUAAUGAUGGCCACACUGUCUCCUCCUGAGACUCAGUGAAGUUGAAAUGUUUGUGAUGAUGCAAUCUCCCCGCGGCUAGACGGAAAGACCCCAUGAACCUUU
rnacentral:rRNA from 1 species